CAGGGCGCCAUCUCUCAGUACUCGCAGAGGGGAGUGCUUUCUGUCAGACAUGGGAUAGGAGGUGUUGGGCCCAGCCCCUUCCUCCCUCAAACUCAAGAGCCCACCAUAGCCCCCUCCACUCUCUAAGGAGCCCUGUGUACCUGGGGCAGAGACCGCUACCCUCCCUGUCCCCUGGGGGUUGGGUCAGUCUGACAAUGGGGUCACUGUACACCUGGCCUUGCCCCCACAGCUCGGAAUACCUGGCCAUCACCUCCGAAAGCAAAGAGAACUGCACGGGUGUCCAGGUGGCCGAAUAGCCCUGGCCCUGGGCCCCUCCUCAAGGAAGAGCCAGCCCUAAUGGGGACUCUCCAGAUACCGCCUGCCUGCAUUUGGGGUGGGGUGGCCGCUUCUGGGCCCCGGAAAGCCUCAGAGUCCUGCCGACAGAGCCGCCGGGGAGGGAGUGGGCAGGGGGCUUGGCUCGCACCCCCACCUUUGCCUCCUCCAGCUCCUGACCCCCGGCCGCGCACCGCCAUGCAUGAUGGGUAAAGCAGCGGCCCCGCACCCCUCCUCCUUGCUGAUUUGCACACAUUGGCCGCUUCAGACAUGCACUUCUGGGGGCCAGCCCCUCCCCGCCUCCUCCCUGCCCGGGGGCAGGGGUCGCGAUGAUGGGCUGGAGCAGUUUGGGGCAAGGGGUUCUGGGGCCCACUCCGACUCUCCCUCCCCAGCAUCAUUUCCCCUCCCGCUUCCUCCGGCUGGACCUGGGGUCCCCGUCCCCGUGAUGCACUCCUGCCCCGGCCCAACCUCGCCCUCUCUCACCAGCCUUGAACUGUGGCCACCUAGAAAGGGGCCCAUUCAGCCUCGUCUCUUUACAGAAGUAGUUUUGUUCAUGAAAUAAAGACUCUUGGACUUGAUGCAGAGUUUUGAUUGUGAGCCUCGUCACCUUCCCACAUUCCUGUCCCUGAAUCCUAGGGCCAGCUUUCCAGGGCCCCUGCCUGUGGGCCACAGGUGAAGUCACUUAGUGCCUGGUCUGUGUCAGGCUUGGGUUAGGGGAGCCAUUCGCUCAGGGGGGACCAAGAGUGGUGAGGGAGAGUGGGAUGGAGCCAGGAAGGGAGAGGGUGCCGUGGAGGGAAGAGAGGGGAGGCUCAGGCUGGCGUGCAGGGGUUUCACGGGGUGUGCGGUGUGCCCAGCAGAGUGUGGGUCUCUGGAGAGGUGGGCGCUGGGGAGGAGAGGGAAGGAGAGCCGGGUACGGAUGGAGAGGCAGAGGAAGCCAGGCUAAGGCAGCGUGUCCCAGUGAGGGCCCAGGGCUAAGUGGAGGAAAU
rnacentral:lncRNA from 1 species